CUUAUGGCACAGAGGAGGAUGAACAGGUAUUUUUAAGUCACUGUAUCAAGUAUUGCUUUUAGAAGAUCUGACACGGGUGCAACAACUAUAUUGGAGAGUCCGUGCAACAUAGUUCGUCAAGUCUGUGUACAAGUAUGUCAAAGAAUGACAUUCCAUGUACAGUUGCGUGCAGUGGUGGGACUGCUCUACCCUUAACAAGAGGUUUCGGAUUUGAGCCCUGAGUAUGGAGAAAAUCCUGUUGGGAGCAUACCCCCGAAUGAACCCUGCAGUGCACCAUCCGAAUUUAGUCUGGGCUCCAAUGCAGGCUCCGGAUACCGAG